rnacentral:lncRNA from 1 species
ACCGUGCAUUCGUUUUGGGCUAGUCAGGAGAAGCCAGGCUAUUAACAUGCUGAAAUUCCCGCGGUUCCCUCUGUAUUGUCCCUUCCCUGAACUUUGGGAAUGCCAUGUAUUAACCCCUCGAGAGCCUUUGAGGCACAGCACGCAGCUGGGGAAGCAGCAAUUGUUUUGAGUCCGGUAGGCAUAUGUCCCUUGUCCAGACCUUAUUGUCGGUUACAAAGUCGCCUGACUCAAAAGCCAUGGCCUGUGAACAGCCUGUCAAGAGGCCCAGCGGACGGGUUAAAAUAUUUCCUGAAGGUUCCUGCUACACUACAUGGCUCUCUUUAAUACGGUUCUACCUUGAUUUUGAGCUUCCAACAUCUCAGACUGUAUCCAGUCAGGGUCGAAAAUAUAUUCCAAAGCAGAUCUCAACUUAAAACAAAAGAAAAGAUCACAGAAAAGCAGAAAGAAUAAAAAAUCAGGCCACCCCA